CCCUAUGGGGCGCGUGCAUGGACAGCAACGCUGGACCGGCGUCCAGUGUUUCGAUUCCCCGCUUUGAGCGGAACUUUGCCACCGUGCCCCCGCCUCCGACAUCGACCUUCCCCAUUUCUGCCACCUGCCACGGCACGUGGGCAUCGUCGAAGAUCGUCAGCACCUUGUGGAGCGUUUCGGCUGAAGCGUCGUUGGCGGAGGACUUACCCCGCGAACCGGUGAACUUUGUCACUACUAUUCCAUUGCCGACAGUCGCAGCAUUGGCAGCCUCGAAGAGAUCCAGGUAAUUGGGGGCCAGGCCU
rnacentral:rRNA from 1 species